rnacentral:misc_RNA from 1 species
CUUAUUACCCGAUAGUAACGGUUACCCCACAGCAAGCAUGGUAAAGUUUUGGCGCGAGGAGUAUAAGUGGAUAGCGGGACGAAGC